rnacentral:rRNA from 1 species
UGCAAGUCGAGCGAGAAUUUUUAAGAAGAUACUUCGGUUGAUUCUUAGGAAGGACAGCGGCGAAAGGGAGAGUAACGAGUAGAUACGUACCCAAGGGUUCGGGAUAGCCAUGCGAAAGCGUGAGUAAUACCGAAUAAUGUCUCCGGACCAAAGAUUUAUUGCCCUUGGAGCGGUUUGCUUACUAUUAGCUUGUUGGUGGGGUAAAGGCCUACCAAGGCUUAGAUGGUUAGCGGGUGUGAGAGCAUGACCCGUCUCACUGGGACUGAGACACUGCCCAGACACCUACGGGUGGCUGCAGUCGAGAAUCUUCCGCAAUGGACGAAAGUCUGACGGAGCGACGCCGCGUGCUGGAUGAAGGCCCUCGGGUUGUAAACAGCUGUCGUAGGGGAGGAAAUUUUGACCGAUCCUAGGAGGAAGCACAGGCUAAGUUCGUGCCAGCAGCCGCGGUAAUACGAACUGUGCAAACGUUAUUCGGAAUCACUGGGCUUAAAGGGUGCGUAGGCGGGUUGGUAGGUCAGAUGUGAAAUCCCACGGCUCAACCGUGGAAUUGCGUUUGAAACCACUAGUCUUGAGGGGAUCAGAGGAGAGCGGAACUGAUGGUGGAGCGGUGAAAUGCGUUGAUAUUAUCAGGAACACCGGUGGCGAAAGCGGCUCUCUGGGAUCCUUCUGACGCUGAGGCACGAAAGCUAGGGGAGCGAACGGGAUUAGAUACCCCGGUAGUCCUAGCUGUAAACGAUCUGUACUAGUCCGUGGGGACCCCCACAUCUUCUCGGACGUAGCGAAAGUGUUAAGUACAGCGCCUGGGGAGUAUGGUCGCAAGGCUGAAACUCAAAGGAAUUGACGGGGGCUCACACAAGCGGUGGAGGAUGUGGCUUAAUUCGAGGC